AAUCAACGCUGGCGGCGUGCCUCAGACAUGCAAGUCGAACGCGAAAGUUUCCUUCGGGAGACAAGUAGAGUGGCGCACGGGUGAGUAACACGUAGGUAAUCUACCUUUGGAUGGGGAAUAACAACCGGAAACGGUUGCUAAUACCGCAUAAUGCAGCGGCACCUAAUGGUGACAGUUGUUAAAGCGGGGGAGUCGAAAGACCUCGCGUCUGAAGAGGAGCCUGCGGCGGAUUAGCAGUUGGUAAGGUAAUGGCUUACCAAGGCUACGAUCCGUAACCGGCCUGAGAGGGCGGUCGGUCACACUGACACUGACAUACGGGUCAGACUCCUA
rnacentral:rRNA from 1 species